UGACAAUGGCUAUGACAACACAAGUUCGUAAUAUUUAAACGGAAAUGUCCAAGAACUUGCAUGGAAAAAAAUUGCGAAAGAAAUGAAGGCAACAGAAAGUAAGAACUUGCGAGGAUCUCACACACGAUAUUUGAAAAAUUGUACACCUUCUGGUUCUGCCACCAGAAAAACGCGACCUUACUACCUCGCUGAAUACAUGCAAUUUCUCACGCCAUUAACCAAAUCCAGGCCAAUGAAGACUAUCCUAGAACCUUCAUUGCAACCAUCUAUAGACUAUUCCUGUGCGAGCAAUAGCGGCGAUAACGAGUCGCAAUGUGAAAAUGAGGAAGAUAAUGAAUCCCAGCAUGUAAUGGCUUUAGAAAAUGAGUCGCCUCUUCUGUCACCGACCGAGAGCAAUUAUUUGACUGGCAAUACUUCAUCCAGUGUGCAUAAUUCCCAAUAAAUCUCACUAGCCAAAAAACCUCGUAUAAUCCCUAAAACUGCAGUAUCGUUAUAAGAAGUGAAUAAAUCCGCGCUGGAAUACUUUCGGUCUAAGAAGACGUCUGUGGGAAAAGCAUCGACUAUAACACCAUAUGAAGACCCAGACAUUUCCUUCCUAAUGAGCAUGGUGCUUGAUAUGAAAAAAAUGAACGAAAACCAAAAAAGACGCUUUAAAAUUCACAUGUUGUCAACUGCUGGCAAUAUUUUGGAAGAAAAUAUAAGUAGUUCCAGCACCACAUGUUAUAACGAUGGACUGUAAACAGACCUGAGGACAGUAACUGAGCCCACCACAUCAGUCCAACAAAAUCUAUUGGAGUUUUUGGACUUCCAGCGACCAGAGUAUAAUGAAUAAAUGUUUUUGUUAUUAAUAAAGAACAUAUCUUUUAUGUUAUGAUGAAUAAUGAUUAUAUGAUUUAAUAAUAAAAAAUAGAUACAUA